CUUUUAUAUUCACCCACUACUCAGUACUCGCACUAUCUGUUAUUUUCCUCCACAAUUUCUGUCAAUCUUAACAAUCCUGUGGCAGGAUUUCGCCUUUCAACUCGAUAACACGCUCACUUACGUCUGGCCGCUGCAAUCGGAGUUCACCUCUGGCGAUCGCACCCUAUCCAUUGAGCCAGCACUUUCUCUUGUUGUCAGUGGCGACGGAGGCAAGUCCACUAUCGCCAAGGACGCGUUUGAGAGAUACAAGAGGAUUAUCUUCAAGCAUCGCCAGAGUUUUUCUAUUUUUCAGAUGUUAGGUAUAAAGGAUCGGCUUAUGACAUCAGUAAAUUGAAAAUUGUAGUUCACUUUGGUAGUGAGGAGCUUCAGCUUGGGGUGGAUGGGAGUUAUACUUUAUUUGUAGAUAAAAAUAAUGGGCAAUCAAUUAUUGCAGAGGACCAUUGAGGCUU
rnacentral:misc_RNA from 1 species